rnacentral:rRNA from 1 species
UGGGGAAUAUUGCACAAUGGGGGAAACCGUACGAUGCAGCGACGCCGCGUGAGCGAAGAAGUAUCUCGGUAUGUAAAGCUCUAUCAGCAGGGAAGAAAAUGACGGUACCUGACUAAGAAGCCCCGGCUAACUACGUGCCAGCAGCCGCGGUAAUACGUAGGGGGCGAAGCGUUAUCCGGAUUUACUGGGUGUAAAGGGAGCGUAGACGGCAAUGCAAGUCUGAAGUGAAAGGACGGGGCUUAACCCUGUGACUGCUUUGGAAAACUGUGUAGCUUGAGUGCCGGAGGGGUAAGCGGAAUUCCUAGUGU